UUGGAGAGACGUCAGGCGGAGCAUAUAGCGGGAUUCGUGGAGCAGGCUUGAGUCAUCGUCGAGGCGACUUCUGAACACUCCUUGUUUGCUUUCUCCGAUAAUCUUGCCGUUCCGAACAUUCUCGAGCUGGAAGGAACUGAGAACAGUUACUACCUUGAAUUGCUUCGCAUCUUUGCAUAUGGUACAUGGAGUGAAUACAAGAGUACGAUUCGCUGUCUCCAGCCAUCAUCUCUGUUCAAAUUGCUUGAUCUAUUGAUUAUGUUGUCUGUUCAUUUAACGGUUGGUAUUAUAUGGUACUAAUUAGCAGUGUUCCACCUUUCCUAUUGGUAAACCUCUAGUAUACGGGUUGUUAUACGACCUGCUGCUGCACCAAUGACUUCAUAUUAUUGUCAAGGUUUUUAGUAAUGGAAAAAUAACUUGUGCAAAUAAUCAUCAUGCUAAUGUCUCUGUUUUUUCAGGUAUUUUAAUAUGAACUAAAAAUCUGUCAUAUUGCUAAUAAACAUGUAGAAAUCUCUGUGCUCCUUAGGCGCCAAAGCCAUAAUCUAGACACUGCUUGUGCAUGAUAUGAGUCCUGGAUUUCAAUUGUUCAAUCAUGCUUGAAACUCAUUAGACACUUUAUCCAUGAUUUAGCUCUCAGAGUUUUAAAAGAGCAUAAUGCACACUCACCUGUUAUUUGUACCAAAAAGAAACUGUAUUCUUCAUGAGUUGAUUAGCAUACUCUGUAGAUGAUCCCAAAUACCUUAAAGGCUGUAGUGAAAUGUUUCACUAUGGGGAAACUUGUGUUAGGCUGCUAGGACUAUUGUUGGAUCAGAUCACAUUCAAUCAACAUUCAGGCAGUCAGUAAAAAAGUGCAGCAAUCUAUACAUUUAGUUUGUGGCUUACUUGAUAAUGCUUGAAUAUGUCUGUAAAGAUGUUGGAAGGUGUCUUCCUCAGUUGCAUCCUAAUCAAAUCAUCAAGCUGAAGCAGUUGACCCUACUUACUCUGGCAGAGAUGAUGAAGGUAGUUUACAUUUCAUGUAUGCACUAUGCGUGGUUCCGAGGAGAGUAUGAUUCAAUUUCUUUCUUGGUGUCACCUAUUUAGAAUAAUGAUCUUGUUUCUGUAACAGAUUGAAUGCUAAAGUUUUAAUGAAAACCCGUACAUGAUGAGUUCUCUGCAAGUAUACUUAAUUCUUAAUUUGAUGAGGGGGAAAAUACAUAGACAUAGCAGAGGGUGAGAAAUGUGUACAACUAGCAGCAUUUUAAUUGACGCAGUGAAGAAAAUGAUUUUCUUGGCGCAUUCAGGUUAGCUUUUGCGAUAUGGAUGCAUUUGAAAUGGCACAUAGGGUAGGAACUGCAUUGAGUGCAUUUUAUUUAUCGCACAUAUGUAAGUUGAUGGUUGAGGACAUAUAACAAGAAAGGGCGAUGGGGAUAACAAUCCUGUGGACUUGAAUUUUGGUAUAUUUGUGAGUUGUUUUAGUGGUUAAAUAUAUAUUAGUACUUCUUAAGGAUAUGAAUUACUUUUUAAGUUGUGUUGUGUGUAUAUUCUUAAGAUUGAUAUUUACCUGAUAGUGAUUAAGCAAAUAUUGAAUUUUAAAUAUGUGUGCCUACAUGGUGAAUUAAUAAAUUUGUUUGAUAGGGGCUUCUUACCUAUUUCUAUAGAAGUAGUUUGCAAAUGUGCUGUGUGUUUUAGUUAUGGAAAACAUAAUAAUGUUUUGCAUUCCUGCUGGCACUAUAACAAAGCAUCUGGCAGUUACAAAGCAUAUCCUCAACACCUAAUCCACAUUCCAACUUUAUUCAUACUCAGCUCAUAUAUAUAUAUAUAUAUAUAUAGUAUAAGCUGCA